rnacentral:rRNA from 1 species
UGGAAACGGGGAUUAAUACCGCAUAAUAUGCCGAAGUCGCAUGACUUUGGUAUUAAAGCAGCAAUGCACUUAGAGAUGAGUGUGCGUCCCAUUAGGUAGUUGGUGAGGUAACGGCUCACCAAGCCUAUGAUGGGUAGCCGGUCUGAGAGGAUGGUCGGCCACACGGGCACUGAGACACGGGCCCGACUCCUACGGGAGGCAGCAGGUAAGGAAUAUUGGUCAAUGGUGGAAACACUGAACCAGCCAUGCCGCGUGGAGGAAUAAGGUCCUACGGAUUGUAAACUCCUUUUGACGAGGAAGAAAAUGUUAGAUUUAUCUAAUUUUGACGGUACUCGUAGAAUAAGCACCGGCUAACUCCGUG